AUACCUGCUCAAUGAAUAGAUUAAAUAGCCUAAUUAUGCUAAGGUAGCAUAAUAAUUUGCUUUGUAAUUGAAAGAUAGAAUGAAAGGUACUACUAAAAAAAAUUAUUUUAUUUUUAUAUUGAAUUUUUAAAAAAUUGAAAAUUAUUUUAUUAUUUUUUUAGACGAUAAGACCCUAUGAAGCUUUAUUAGUUUAAUUAAUUAAAAUUUGAAAAAUUAGUUUAUUUGGGGAAAAUUUUUAUAUUUUUAUAANUAUAAAAGAAUAUUGUUGAUCUUAAAAAAANUUUAGGGAUAGCUACUCUNGGGAUAACAGCAUUAUUUUUGUAAAAGUUCUUAUUAUAACAAAAGUUUGUGACCUCGAUGU
rnacentral:rRNA from 1 species